GACGAACGCUGGCGGCGUGCUUAACACAUGCAAGUCGAACGGAAAGGCCCUGCUUUUGUGGGGUGCUCGAGUGGCGAACGGGUGAGUAACACGUGAGUAACCUGCCCUUGACUUUGGGAUAACUUCAGGAAACUGGGGCUAAUACCGGAUAGGAGCUCCUGCUGCAUGGUGGGGGUUGGAAAGUUUCGGCGGUUGGGGAUGGACUCGCGGCUUAUCAGCUUGUUGGUGGGGUAGUGGCUUACCAAGGCUUUGACGGGUAGCCGGCCUGAGAGGGUGACCGGACACAUUGGGACUGAGAUACGGCCCAGACUCCUACGGGAGGCAGCAGUGGGGAAUAGUGCACAAUGGGCGGAAGGCUGAUGCAGCAACGCCGCGUGCGGGAUGACGGCCUUCGGGUUGUAAACCGCUUUCGCCUGUGACGAAGCGUGAGUGACGGUAAUGGGUAAAGAAGCACCGGCUAACUACGUG
rnacentral:rRNA from 1 species